rnacentral:rRNA from 1 species
CGUACGGGAGGCAGCAGUGGGGAAUAUUGCGCAAUGGGCGAAAGCAUGACGCAGCCAUGCCGCGUGUGUGAAGAAGGCCCUAGGGUUGUAAGGCACUUUCAAUAGGGAGAAAAGGCUCACGGUUAAUACCCGUGAGAGUUGAUGUUACCUAUAGAAGAAGCACCGGCUAACUCCGUGCCAGCAGCCGCGGUAAUACGGAGGGUGCGAGCGUUAAUCGGAAUUACUGGGCGUAAAGGGUGUGUAGGUGGCUGAGCAAGUCUUAGAUGAAAUCCCGAGGCCUACCCUCGGAACUGUCUUCGAUACUGCUCAGCUUGAGGAUGGUUGAGGAGAACGGAAUUCCCGGUGGAGCGGUGAAAUGCGUAGAUAUCGGGAGGAACACCAGAGGCGAAGGCGGUUCUCUGGGCCAUUCCUGACACUGAGACACGAAAGCUAGGGGAGCAAACGGGAUUAGAUACCCCGGUAGUCCUAGCCGUAAACGAUGGGCACUAGAUGUUUCCGCUUUAAUGUGGGAGUGUCGUAGCUAACGCGUUAAGUGCCCCGCCUGGGGAGUACGGUCGCAAGGCUGAAACUCAAAUGAAUUGACGGA